CUAGGGCUGAAAUUGAGAAACUCCGCUCCACAUGAACCACAAAUAAAAGGAAGAAAUUCAGGAGACGACCCACAGACCCUCUGAAGGAAGUGGACUGCUCCUGCAGGACCCGGGAGACACCACAAAUACAGUGAGUGCCCAACUGUGGAAGUGGGAAAGGGAGACCCUCCUCUCCUGAACACACGGCCCCACAGGGGAGGCUGAAGGUCUGUUUGCGGAUAAGUUUCCGACCUUACCUGGAGCUGAGCCAAUUUUGAGAGCUGAAAUGCAGGGGUAGAGGAAGCAGCAGAAACGCCCUGGGAGCUCGCUAUGUCCCCUUGCUAGGGACAUUCCUUCCUGGCACCACAGAGAUCCAUCAGGGGACACAAGAGGCGAUUUCAAGAAACACUAAUAGGAUUGUGAGAAAGUUGGCCAAGGAAGAGGAACAGCCAAUAAACGGUGACUUGUCAAGACAGUUAGGACCCUGGGAGCUAAAUCUGCCUGGAGAACUCUGGAAAUCAGUGUGGAACACAUACUUCAGCAUCAUCUCAGCUAAUGGACAAGUAAGAUGGAGUACUGCUGGGUGGCCAGGCUGGAGUGCAGUGGUGCGAUCUCGGCUCACUGCAAUCUCUGCCUCCUGGGUUCAAGUGAUUCCUCUCCCUCAGCCUACCGAGUAGCUGGGACUACAGGUGUGCACCAUCACGCCCGGCUAAUUUUUUGUCUUUUAGUAGAGACAGGGUUUCACCAUGUUGGCCAGGAUGGAGUCAAUCUCCUGACCUCAACGAUCUGCCCGCCUCGGCCUCCCAAAGUGCUGGGAUUACAGGCGUGAGCCACCGCUCCCAGCUUAAUAAACUUUCUUAACUCUCACAGCUUCCCUUCCAGUCUUACAUAGCUUGUUUCACAUAAGAGUUACCUAGCUAAAGCAACUCAUUUCUUUAAGUGCUGAGCAUUUCCUCCUGUAUAAUCUCUACUUGGGGCUGCUUACCGGUUCUACUCUAGUUUCUACACAUUGUCAUGAGAUGGGAUAGUUCCCUUGACCCCCUUCACAGGCAUUUCACCCCCUUCAAUCAUUUCACUUAGCUUGAUGCUGGCCACUUCUCGCGAGAGGGAGCCUGUGAGCAAAUGAGUGUGUGAACCAAGUGAACAAACUCUGGAACUGAAGUGAACGAAUGCUGAAACCAGCCGGUCGCACCUCUCUGGUGGGAGCAGGCUUUGUGCAGGGCCCGCAGCAGCGUCCAAGAGAGUUACAACCAAUGGUCUUUCAGCUCUGCCGUCUGGGGACGGCCAAGUGCCAACCACCUCAGGGGAGGGUCAGGGUGGCAGCCCCUGCCCUCCCGACACCCAGGUUCUUGUCCAGCAUCCAGGAAGAAUCAGGUCACACGAACUGUUUGAAAGGUGAUGAAUGCGGAAGACUUUAUUUAGCGGUAUUCCUAAGACCACUCCCUUAUGGGGAUCUUGUAUGCAAAUCUUUAUCACUGAGUCCGCCUGUUGGUGUUAGAAGAGGUCUGAGAAAACAGACCUAAAAGAGGACUCUAGAGCUGGAUCACCAGCUGUUCAGUGGACACGGAAAACCUUAUCACUAAUGACAUAGGAAAAUGAACGAGGCACAUUAACUCAAAGAUUUUGGACUUAUAUCUGCGCAGAAUUAUUGUUAUCUCCUUGAGAAUAUAAGCAGACUGCAUGGUAAGUUCCAGAUGGGAUUCCUCUGAAGUCCAGGUAAAUGAACUCAAGCGUAUCCUUCAUCCCAGUUCUGUGAUGAAAGCCUGCUGUUCCUUGGGAAGGCAAGAGGAGGAAUUUGAAUGGCAUCUUUGUUGGUGGAAGAGAGGGGAUGAUAAGAGUGCUUGUACAUGAUUCUUUGUAAGUUAUCUCCCUGCUACCUUUCUUUUUCUAAAACAUCCUAUAUAGAACUACAAGAUUAAUCUUUGCAAACACAGUUCAGAUCAUUUUUUUUUUCUGUUCAAAAUCUUCAGCAAGUCAGAGCUGGCUGAAUAAACUUUUAACUCACAGAAUUAAGACAGACUUUGAGUUGAUUAUCAUUAGGGAUCUAUUCAUCCCACCAAUUAUUUAGCACAUGUGUUUAUCUAAACUUGUGUUUAUCCCAUUGUCUGACUUCCUCUGGAACACACAGAGGGGCAGGAAACUUACUACCAAUUCCAUGUACUGUUCUGUUUCUCAUAACGUCCUCACAUUUAUUAAAAAAUCUGUCACCUUGCUGCUGCUGGAGAGCCACACAAAAUAAAUCAUAUUCCUGUCUAUGUAUGAGAGAUCAAUAUCUUGGACAUCAUAGAUCUUCUAAAUCUCAUCUCUCCUUUAAAUUUAGACAUUUCUCCAGCCAAUUUUUCUCCUGCAGUCCUUACCCAAGCUUCAAGUCUCCCUCUAAGAAAGCUCUCUUCGUAAUCCUCGCCCCCAGUCUCUUCUCCUAGAGAGAUGUAAUUUCUUUCCUGUCCUCACCUAAUGAGUAUGGUACUCCAUUUUAGGGACCUCUUCCUAUGCUUAUUACUUUCUACCUAUAUUUAUAGAAACAUUUUACAAAACAUUUCCAUGCCACAAUAUUCUCACAAGUUGUCAAUAGCAGUUAGUUGCAGGGAGUGGGGGUGGGGGAUAGCCCAUAAAACAACAUACAUUUAUUU
rnacentral:lncRNA from 10 species